AGCUUUGCGCAGUGGCAGUAUCGUAACCAAUGAGUUUUAUCCAAGGCGUGAUUAUUGCUAAUUGAAAACUUAAGACCUCUGAAUGAAAGCUUUGCCACUCCUUAUAUAUAAUAGGCUCUGAUUUUGUUUUAAGUAUAGAUGUUCCUCAGCACUACAAUUUUUUUUUUUUGAGACAGGGUCUCUCU
rnacentral:snRNA from 7 species